UUCAGAAUGACAAGUUGGAGCAGAGGUCAGAGAUCUCUUCUCAGCCUGCCACUGGAGGAACAACUGACUAAUUUUCAUUCGUAAAUACUAAGCAUAUUUAAACCUUUGUUGAUUUCCAAAAUGGACUAAGGGCAUUCGCCUCUGCUUUUAGCUAGCACUCAGCACCUUGAAGAACUGUGUUCUCUACUGAAACAAUUGGCAGUCUUCCUUCCUCUGUUUACACCAAGUCCAUGAAAGAAGCAAGUGCAUAAAGAGAUAUGUGAGUUUCGCUUCAGAGACAACCAUAAAGAACAAACUCAAACAAAGGACUGAUGGAGAAGAACUGUGCAGCUGUAACCUGGGUGAACACGUCUGCAAAAUGGAGGCAGGGAAAAAAAAAAGAAAAGAGAGAGAGAGAGAGAGAGAGAGUCUAUGGAGUAAACUGUGCUAGAAGGUUGGAAGAAACAAAAGCUGCCUUGCCAUGAGAGUCACAGAUUCUUCUGUCUUGCAUGUAAUGGAGAACAGAAAUGUGGACGAACUGGAACAUUUUCUUACAGAUGACCAUGCAUGUUGUCAUGCUUGGUUUUUUGCCAAACAUGACUGGCAUAGCAAUAGUCAGCAGGCAAAGUUAAGCUGGAAAUAGAAAAAGGACAGAUAAAAUGCAUGACAUAUAUUCAGAUUUUACCUUUACUGUCUAAAAGAAUUGUUGUCUUGUAUAUCACCAUCCUUGUUCACUCAGAAUUUUAAAAAACAUAUUCUAUGUCUUCUGAAUGUAUCUUCAGAAUGUAUUGUUAUUUGUGGCUAUUGAAAACUUUUAUUUUUGAACAGUUCAUAUUUUUUUACAUAUUUCAUAGGUCUUCUGCAGUAAUUUCUAAAACAGCUCUGUCAUUAUAGGUCCUAACUUUUUGAAGUCCAUUGACUGCAGCAUGAAAUUCAAUUUGGACAGCUAGACUUGAGACGUGUAAUAGACUUUCCAUCAAGUAGAGAAAUAAAAGUUUGGCAGAGCAACAUGGAAGUGAAUGUAAACAGGAGCUAAUGAAAUGUGAUUUAGAUUUUAUCAUCUGAUAGUAAUAUCAAGGUUGAAAGAUAACCCGAGUAUUGAGGAACUAGAAAAGAUGAUGAAAAUGGAAAAGCUGAAAAAGCUUUAAUAUAAAAAGAUAAUGCUAGUUUGCUUUAGAGAUCGUAUAAGCAAGAAAAGAAAUCGAAAAAUGGGAAGUAAUGAAUGGACAGGAAAAGUAUAUUGGAAUCUCCUGUUGUGUGUGAUUAAUCAGAAUCAGGGCUACAUUUUGUUUAAUUAAAACAAUUGGGUAACAUAAACCCAGUGAAGGGAUUCUUUGUCAUCAAACCAUGAUAUUUAUUUGAAAUGAAAAAUUAUUGAGUUCAAGAGCUUGACAAAGCAAUAUACUUAUCUACUGAAUCACACAGCUCAUUUCUAUACAGCUGUAGACAAAGCCUAGAAAUAGAGCUCACUUCUCUUCAGAACCCAUGCUGGUCUUUGGUUCAUGACAAUUUGUGAUUGGCUCAUGACGAUUUGUGUUGAGUCCCACUGCUCUCCAACUUCCACAUGUACUGACAAAUUUUACUUUCUGUUAUUCUGUCUUCAAGGUUAUCCAAAUGUUAUGGUGUUAAAUAAAGCUUCUUGUCUACAUUGAUUGCAUCUUAUAAUUUUUUCUCCUCAUCUGAUUUUACAAGCAUUUUCCUACUUGUACCGAGUUCAUUAAGGAAAUGCUAAAUGCAAUCAGUCCCAAGAUGUUCCUUGGGACUUUACAAUUAUUUUGUACAAUGCUAAGUAUUUUUUUUCAUUCUAUAUGGCUCUUGACUUCUCAUCUUAAACCAUUUUCUUUCUUUUAAGUUUAUAAUACUUAUGUCGAUUCCCUUUUUUUUUUUUUUUUUUGGUCAAAUACAUUUUUUCCAUCUGGCACCAUGGUUUCCAAUGCAUUAAAGCUGACAUUCAGCUUUGUAUACAGUUUCCUGGUUGUAAUCCCUGAUUUGUGUGGAUGAACUGAUCAAGAUAUUCUUCACUGCAUGGUAUGACAGCUGUACAUGGCCAUCUAUAAUGUGUCUCUCUUUCAUGUCACCGUGGCCACUGCUGAAAUACACCAUCCACUGCCUCGCUGUGCUCACACCCAUUGUUUGGUCUCCAUAAACAUUCAGCAAAUGUUGAUGAAUGUCAGUGAAUGCAAAUUUUUCCACAUGGAAGGAUUCAAAUUACAACCCUUUGCUUCAUACUCACUUUCACAUCAGACAUCAUUUUGUCAGAAUGCCCCUCUGCUGCCAUCUGUCACACAGCAACAAAAGGUAAUGAAAUAUUGGUGAGAAUGUUCAACCUCUACUGCCAUACCACCAACACCUGCCUCUGAUGUUGUGGGCCAGCAUAAUAGAAUUGGAGACAUUAUUUUUGGAGCACACCUCAUAUUUUUUGAGAUAAUUAUUUACCAUUCAGGUCUGAAAUCUUUUAUUCCAAGAUAUACAUGCUCCAGAUUACACUUACACUUUUUAUUAAAAAGUAAAAAUUCCAAUCCCAAUGUUCUAGUCCAUUGUGCAUUUUCUCUGAUAUAUGAGAAUUCAGUAUCUUGAAAUUAUAUUGUAACUUCUGUCUGUCUCACAUUACUUCCUUUUUGCUCAAAUAGAUUGUUUCCCUAGUAACAAAUUUUUGUGGCAUUGAUGGUACUAUGCCAAACCAAAUAAAAAUAGUGCCCACUCUUAUUAAUUCAUUGAUAUUUUAUAAAGAAACGAUGUUAUCUAAGUUAUCUAAGACUUAGCAUAAUUAGAUUAGCAUGAUAAUAAUAGUAGUAAUAAUAGUAAUAAAGCUUUAGAAAACUACUUAUCUACUUAUCUCUCAAGAGUACAGAAAUUACCUGAAUUAAAGUGAGCAACUCUGAAAGGGAUCUGAAAACUGUGUGCUUCAGAUUUCAGUAGACUUUUGUUAUGAUACCUACACAAAAUCUAUUAUAUGUUACUAAUGCUAUUGGGCUUGGAAUGAGCACCACCUUGGUGUAACUGUGGUUCUUGAACUGUCCAUUUGGUGCUCCCUUGCACUGAGAAAGCUCCCACCCUUAUUCCACCCCAGAGCUCCUGACAAUACAAACACAAUAAAUUUUAUUGUAAAGCCAGAACAACAAUUUUGAUUUAUUCCCCCACUGGUGCACUAGUGAGAAAUUUCAGGGCUGCCUGAUGGGAACCUAUGUGAUGACUGACUCAUAGGAUUUACCAUAUUUAUUACCCCUUGUCUUGUCAUUUGACCCUCCUUUUCACCACCAUUGCUUCUCCUCUUAGAAUGUUUUUAUCUGUUUCCUUCCUUCCUCCCUUCCUCCCUUCCUCCCUUCCUCCCUUCCUCCCUUCCUUCCUUCCUCUACCUGAAAAACUAUUGCUGGCUGCUCUUAGUUGGAUAUGAGAUCCAGAUUAAUUGCAUGUUACCUAAGAAUGAAUGAAGAAUGAUUAGAUAGCAUAUAAGAUAAAUCAGUGUUUCUUCUAUUUUUCUAUGAAUGGAUUCCUCCUCCUGAAUGUCACAGUAUGCUUUUAUCAGUAAUACUGCAUUUUUACUACUUCAUCUUAUAGACUGUAGUUAUCUACCUUUUUACAUUCAUGAACUUGAGUGCUAGAAUAUUCAUAUGUAGUGUUGAUAACAGUGCCUGUGACUUAAAAAAAUACAGUUUUCAAAACAUAUCAGCAUUUGGGAAAGUCAGUGUAGUGUUCUGAGACUUUUGAUAAGUCUCAAUUUCUAUUUGAAACAGCAUUUGAAACUGUAAAUAUCAUUCAGGAAAAAAAUUUUUUGGUAUGCCUUUGUACAAUUUAGUGCACUCUUUAUUAUAUGACUGUAUUUUAUUUAGUGUCCUUUUAUCCAAAAGAUGUUGUAGUGUUAGAUCGUCAAGGAAAUAAAUGAAUACAUGAAAUUCUGUUUGUUAUUUUAUAUUUUUAAUCAUGGU
ensembl:lncRNA